UACGUAGGGCGCAAGCGUUAUCCGGAAUUAUUGGGCGUAAAGAGCUCGUAGGCGGUUUGUCGCGUCUGCUGUGAAAGACCGGGGCUCAACUCCGGUUCUGCAGUGGGUACGGGCAGACUAGAGUGCAGUAGGGGAGACUGGAAUUCCUGGUGUAGCGGUGAAAUGCGCAGAUAUCGAGAGGAACACCUGCGGCGAAGGCGACUACCUGGCCUGUUCUUGACGCUGAGGCGCGAAAGCUAGGGGAGCAAACGGG
rnacentral:rRNA from 1 species